CCUACGGGAGGCAGCAGUGGGGAAUAUUGCACAAUGGACGAGAGUCUGAACCAGCCAAGUAGCGUGAAGGAUGACUGCCCUAUGGGUUGUAAACUUCUUUUAUAUGGGAAUAAAAUGUUCCACGUGUGGGAUUUUGUAUGUACCAUAUGAAUAAGGAUCGGCUAACUCCGUGCCAGCAGCCGCGGUAAUACGGAGGAUCCGAGCGUUAUCCGGAUUUAUUGGGUUUAAAGGGAGCGUAGGUGGAUUGUUAAGUCAGUUGUGAAAGUUUGCGGCUCAACCGUAAAAUUGCAGUUGAAACUGGCAGUCUUGAGUACAGUAGAGGUGGGCGGAAUUCGUGGUGUAGCGGUGAAAUGCUUAGAUAUCACGAAGAACUCCGAUUGCGAAGGCAGUUCACUGGACUGCAACUGACACUGAGGCUCGAAAGUGUGGGUAUCAAACAGGAUUAGAUACCCCAGUAGUC
rnacentral:rRNA from 1 species